rnacentral:rRNA from 1 species
UCGUGUCGUGAGAUGUUGGGUUAAGUCCCGUAACGAGCGCAACCCCUAUCCCUGAUUGCUAGCAGGUAAUGCUGAGAACUCCAGGGAGACUGCCGGUGACAAACCGGAGGAAGGUGGGGAUGACGUCAGGUCAUCAUGGCCCUUACGGCCAGGGCUACACACGUGCUACAAUGGCGCGUACAGAGGGCUGCGAACUCGCGAGAGUAAGCCAAUCCCUUAAAACGCGUCGUAGUCCGGAUCGGAGUCUGCAACUCGACUCCGUGAAGUCGGAAUCGCUAGUAAUCGCGAAUCAGAAUGUCGCGGUGAAUACGUUCCCGGGUCUUGUACACACCGAA